rnacentral:tRNA from 1 species
GGGUCUUUGGCGCAGUUGGUUAGCGCGUAGGUCUCAUAACAUGACUCACUGCGAGUGAGAGGCAUCCUAAGGUCGCCAGUUCGAUCCUGGCAAGGCCCA